ACACUCUCUACUAUGUGGCCACUAAUUAUAUCGACCUCCUCCCUCGUCCUCUCAAUUACUUGGGUUGGGCUGCUUACAUUGCUGUUCAAGGUUGUGUCCUUACUGGGGCUUGGGUUAUAGGCCAUGAAUGUGAUCACCAUGCUUUUAGUGACUAUCAGUGGGUCGACGACCUUGUUGGCCUUGUUGUCCACUCCUCUCUUCUCGUCCCUUACUUUUCUUGGAAAAUUAGCCACCGUCGUCACCAUGCCAACACCCAAUCCCUUGAAAAUGACGAGGUGUAUGUCCCAAGAUUUAAGUCCAACAUCCGAAACUAUUACAAAAUCUUUGACAAUCCACCUGGCCGAGUACUUGUUUGGAUUACCACACUCCUUAUCGGUUUUCCUUUAUACUUGAUGUUCAAUGUAUCCGGCCACAAGUACGAAAGAUGGACUUCCCACUAUGAUCCUCAUAGCCCUCUUUACUCCGAUCGUGAACGCAAAGAGAUUAUUAUUUCUGAUGUUGCUAUCCUUGCUGUCAUCUAUGGACUCUAUCGUCUUGUGUUAGCCAAAGGAUUUGCAUGGGUUUUCUGCGUCUAUGGAGGUCCAUUACUAGUUGUUAAUGGUUGGUUCGUGUUGAUCACCAUAUUGAAUCAUACUCACCCUUCUUUGCCUUACUAUGAUUCUACCGAGUGGGAUUGGUUGAGGGGAGCUCUUUGCACCGUAGAUAGAGAUUACGGAAUUUUGAACAAGGUGUUCCACAAUGUGUGCAAUGCUCAUGUUUGUCACCAUAUUUUCUCCAUGAUGCCGCAUUAUCAUGGACUGGAAGCAACUGAG
rnacentral:lncRNA from 1 species